UGAGGCGUACGCGGUGCAGGCGGGUCGUGCGGCGCCCGUGGAGGUGUUUGCGUCUCGCCUUAGGGCUUUAUUUCUUAGACCUUUAGGGUUGUUUGGUUUCGCUUUGUUUUUAAUCUUCAGAAAGGCAAGGGUAAGUUAUCCGCCGUUGGGAGUCUGAGGUCCUCUUGCUCCCAGAGAGGCUCCGUUCCCUUUCCUGCAUCCUUUGCUUCGCGCAGACUGGCCUCUUCUGCAGGUGAGACUCGCGACCCCGCGCCCCGCCCUCCGACGUCUGGCCGUCUUCCUGGGUUUUCUAGGUGCUCCUUGGGAGAACUCCAGCCUCCGGGUGAUCUUUGUUGUCGGGCGGGCCGCACCAGCCUCCCAUCUCGGCUCCCGGAGGAGGCCAGCUCGUCGCUGCCGCGGGCUGAGCGAUGGAGCCCGAGAGCCCGCGGGAAGCCCCCUCGCAGGAAGGCUCCUGCUCGCCGGGAGAGCGGCCUCCCUCCGCCCUCGGGCAGUCCUUGUCUCAGAUCGUGCACCGUCUCACCAGCCAGGAGUCCCGACGGGGCAAGGCCAGGAGUGCGGCGCUUGAGGACCUGAGCGCUCUGAUAGAAGCCACAGAGUGUGACCAGCUGUUGGAGGGGGGCGGCGCGUGGCGCCGCGGAAUGCCCGAGGCGCUGGGGCAGGUGGCAAAAGCCCUGGAGAAGUAUGCAGCCCCGCCCGGGGAGCAGGAGGGCCGACGUCGUGCGGACUGCGAAGUGGCCGCCGAGAAAGCGGCCGCGGUUGGGUUACUAUUUCUCGAACUACUGGGGAAAAUGGAGGCGGCCCAGUCUUCGUUGGUUGGCCCUACGUGGAAGGCAGGCCUGCGUCACUUGGCAGCACCCAUCUAUGUUUUCGCGCUCACACACAGUCUGGAGCACCCGUGGACCAGCCCGAGGUCCCGUGAGGUUGCUGGAGAGGUGCUCUCCGUACUCCUUCGGGUUACUCCGUGUGCGUCGGUGGCAGGAUUUCUGCACGGAGAACAUGAGGACGAGAAAGGGAGAUUUACGCUAGUAAUGGAGCUUCUCAAACGCGAUUUGAAUAAGGAAUCCUGGAAGAAUAACCCUGCCACCAAACAUGUUUUUUCAUGGAGUCUACAACAGGUCACCCGACCCUGGCUUAGCCAACAUCUGGAAAUGGUACUUCCCCCGUCACUGCUCAUCUCAGAUGACUAUCAAACCGAGAACAAAAUCCUGGGUGUACGCUGCCUCCAUCACAUUGUGCUUAAUGUGCCAGCUGCUGAUUUGCUCCAGUAUAACAGAGCCCAGGUCGUAUAUCAUGCCCUUUUCAACCACCUGUACACACCAGAGUACAACCUCAUUCAGGCUGUGCUCCUGUGUCUGCUGGAUUUAUUCCCCAUCCUGGAGAAAGCCCUGCAAUGGAAGGGAGGUGCAGGUCGGCCCACCACACACUGUGAUGAGGUGCUGCAGUUGAUUCUGACCCACAUGGAGCCAGAGCACCGCCUUCUCCUACGCAGGACCUAUGCCCGAAACCUCCCGGCGUUUGUGAAGAGGUUGGGGAUUGUAACUGUCCGGCACUUAAAGAGACUGGAGCGAAUCAUCAUUGGUUAUCUGGAGGUUUAUGAUGGACCGGAGGAAGAGGCUAGAUUGAAGAUACUGGAAACCCUAAAACUUCUCAUUCAAUAUGCAUGGCCCAGAGUUCCCUGUAGACUUGUGGUCUUAUUGAAGGCGCUCCUGAAACUGAUAUGUGAUGUAGCAAGGGACCCAAGCCUUACACCUGAGCCUGUAAAGAGCGCCUUACUAGAGGAGGCCACCGAGUGCCUGAUUCUCCUGGACCACUGUUCUCAAGGACAGGUGAAGGAUCUCCUGGUCAAAAUUCUCCAAAGCUGUGAAGACAGCAAGGUGGUGAACUGUAUCCGAAAAGUGCAGCAGGUUUCGGAAGGCACAUCCUACAACGGAACCUAAAACUGGAAGGCUUUUUCUUCUUGUUCCUACUGUGUAAAUGAAAUUAUUUAAGAAAAAAGAAUCUGAAGAGUCACUCUCUGCCUCCUGCUGUUCCAGGGCUUUAUCAAAGGCAUGAAUGGGGAAGUUGUAGAUGUCGCCAUACUGAAGAACACAGAUACACACCAGCUUUAAUGACCUCUCAAUCGUACAUGUGAAAUCCACUGUCCAAUAAGCAUAUUAUUUUUUUCCCCAGUGAUUAAAUGAGAAUACUUGAUUUGAGAAGUAGUAGUAUUUCUGUAUUAAUAUUCAAGCCUAGAGCUGACAAUAUCUUAAAAGCCCAUUUUAAAUAAUCACUGGUUAAAAUCAAACAAGUAGCUUCCAUGAAGAGUCACUUGAAACUUAGUUUAUUAAAACCCAUGGCUUGGAACAAAUGUAAAUUUGCUGACAGAAAGAAGUAAUAAAGUUCUAUUCAUUUUUGUCUUGUAAAUGACAUUAAUUUCUAUCUAUUUUUUUUUUAAAGAUUUUAUUUAUUCAUGAGACACAGAGAGAGGCAGAGAGACACAGGCAGAGGGAGAAGCAGGCUCCAUGUAGGGAAGCCAACAUGGGACUCGAUCCUGGGUCUCCAGGAUCACAACCUGGGCUGAAGGUGGCGCUAAACCGCUGAGCCACCCAGGCUGCCCAACAUUAGUUUUUAAAGUGAAUUAAAAUCCCAUUUUAAAAAGUCUUAGAAGAUUAGGGUGCAAGAGGAUCAAAACUGCAUGCCUUUUGUACAGAGAUCUGGAACUGUUGUACUGGGGACACAAGUUGGCAAUAUGGUGCAAAGGGAAAAGGUCUCUUACACUAAAUGGAGCAUCAAGGGUGACCAGAGCAUUUUAUAGGUUUGUGUCAAUGAACUAAAGUGGGGAAGCCAGAGCCUGUAUAUGUUUUAUUUCAGGAACAAAAAUCAAAGAUCUUUCCAGCACCUUUGAAAAUAAAACACAUUUCCCACUAGUUCCUAGCAUAUUACUGAUCUAAAAAAUAAAGUUUACAUCCCAAAGUU